rnacentral:lncRNA from 1 species
UUGUAGGACGAUAAUAUUUCUGUAUUUGCUUAUAAUUCUAAUUUUUACAGGUAUAUAUCUGUUUGAUGUCUUCCAGAAGUGGUAUCCGUAUCAAACCGGAGAUGUUUUAGCUGUAAGAAUAUUAAGAAGUGAAACUCUGGUCUGAAUCAGUCGCCGGAAAAUACACUCCAACUCGAUCUCAAGCUCCUCAACAGUGAUCUCUGCAGCCUCCAACCUUGUACUUGCGCUCCGCAUCGCUACUUCGUCCCACGCAUCAUCAAAGCAGCAAAACUGCAUCGUAAAGAUAGAAGAAAAUGACCCUAUGCUCGGUUUUCUCUCGAGCCAAGGAACACAUACGAGUGAGAACAGAGACUCAACCAUAGUCACAACGGCUCUUCUCACUUCUUUCAAAACCUCAGCAACAAACAGAAGCGCAGAGUCAGUUGAAGAUCUUGCAGGCCAUGUCUCACGAGUGCCAUGACAUCUUUCGACACAUUACAGACAUCUAACAUUAUUAGUGAAGCUUCAGAGACUUGCUCGAUCCAGUUCUCUUUCCCUUGUUGGCACAGAGACUCUCUUGCUUCUGGACAGUGAUCGAGAAGAUAGUUUGCGCAGUCUUGUAGUUCUCUCAAACCUUCCAAGUCCAGUAGCGCCAUUCGGUUGAAACCUCAAAAGGGUAUUGCUUGAUGAGAACUUGAUGAGAGAUUUGUGAUUAGGGUUUAGUGAAAUCUUAGGGUUACGUCCAUAAAUAGGGAUUGUUUGAAUUGGAGUUGAAGAUGGAUCUGAGAAGAAUGAGGAAAGUACGAAGAAGGAACCCUGAGGUUAGUUUUUUCCUUUUCUUUGCGAGGUGUUUUUUUUUUGUACAUAAGUGAAGACAUUAGUGUUGGAGACAGGUCAUUUAGUUUUCAAAUUCAAACUAGUUGAAGUUAGUGGUAUUUAGGAACCUUCCGUUUAUGUAAGUGGCACUAGAUUAGGC